UACGGGGGGGGGCAAGCGUUGUUCGGAAUUACUGGGCGUAAAGGGUGCGUAGGCGGUUCGCUAAGUUGGAUGUGAAAACUCUGGGCUUAACCCAGAGCCUGCAUCCAAUACUGACGAGCUAGAGUUCUGGAGGGGGUAGCGGAAUUCCUGGUGUAGCGGUGAAAUGCGUAGAGAUGUGGAGGAACACCGAUGGCGAAGGCAGCCCCCUGGGCCAACACUGACGCUCAGGCACGAAAGCGUGGGGAGCAAACAGG
rnacentral:rRNA from 1 species